UCGGAGUCGCGAGCAGAGUUGUUGUCACUCUUCCCAGUGCAGUUGCCAGCAGAGUUGUCUGUUUCCUCAGCACGAUCGCUUUCCUUUUGAAAGACUUGGUAAGUCAGUGGUUUGAUACCCGGUACUUUACCUUUUCCCUGGCGAAGUCGUCUGCGGAAUUAUUGCUAUCUCUCCAUCAGAGUUAUUCUCUUAGCAGAGCAGGAUUUAUUUUCCUACUCAGUGGUUGAUUUGGGUUGACAUCCCAAUGUUCAUCCAUCUUUUCCUCAGCUUA
rnacentral:lncRNA from 1 species